rnacentral:rRNA from 1 species
UACGUAGGCAGCAAGCGUUGUUCGGAAUUACUGGGCGUAAAGAGUGUGUAGGUGGUGUCGUAAGUUUGUUGUGAAAUCUCCCGGCUUAACUGGGAGGGUGCGCCGAAGACUGCGAUGCUGGAGUAUGGGAGAGGAAAGCGGAAUUCCUGGUGUAGCGGUGAAAUGCGUAGAUAUCAGGAGGAACACCUGCGGUGAAGACGGCUUUCUGGACCAUUACUGACACUGAGACACGAAAGCGUGGGUAGCAAACAGG